rnacentral:sRNA from 1 species
GAGGCCUGGGCUUGGAGAAGGAGCAUCGACAGGGUGAAGGUGAAGUUCUGGAAAUAGAAACAGUGAUGAUACCACUUCACAGCCUGGGGGCCACUCCACUGUCACAGCGCUGUUGGGAAGAAGCUGUAAGGUGCUGCUUUCAUCUAUACAAGUUGUGCUGGUGGCCAGGGGUAGGCGUGAGUUUUGGGAGGUGAAGUAUCUGUGUGUGUGAAGGAUUCUGUUUUGAGAAAGAAGGAAAUGGGAACUUACUAAUUUGUAGAAUGGAAACUAGCAAAAUUAGGCAAAGCAUGGUGAGAGCAUGUGCAGCAGGAAGAGGAGACCCCGCAGAGCUCAGAAGAGGUGGAGGAGGGGCUGGCCUCCCCGGCCUCAGGACUUCAGGGAUCCCACUGCGUCUUCUCUGCUCCUGCUUGGGCUGGAUUUCACCGGCCAGGUGUCUCUCUCCCCAGCACUUCCAGCCACUCCAGGAUGUCCCUGGCCUGCCAGCAGCCUCCACCAGUGGGAAAAGCCCCUACACCAGUGGAUAUCAUGGAAAUAAAAGAAAUCCGCCCAGGGAAGAACUCCAAAGAUUUCGAGCGAGCAAAAGCAGUUCGCCAGAAAGAAGACUGCUGCUUCACCAUCCUGUAUGGCACUCAGUUCGUCCUCAGCACGCUCAGCUUGGCGGCUGACUCUAAAGAGGAUGCAGUUAACUGGCUCUCUGGCUUGAAAAUCUUACACCAGGAAGCGAUGAAUGCGUCCACGCCCACCAUUAUCGAGAGUUGGCUGAGAAAGCAGAUAUAUUCUGUGGAUCAAACCAGAAGAAACAGCAUCAGUCUCCGAGAGUUGA